GCCAGGUGCGAUGGCUCACGCCUGUAAUCCCAGCACUUUGGGAGGCUGAGGCAGGCGGAUCACCUGAGGUCAGGAAUUUCAGAACAACCUGACCAACAUGGUGAAACCCUGUCUCUA
rnacentral:SRP_RNA from 1 species